rnacentral:rRNA from 1 species
AGUGAACGCUGGCGGUAGACCUAACACAUGCAAGUCGAACGGCAGCACAGUAAGAGCUUGCUCUUACGGGUGGCGAGUGGCGGACGGGUGAGGAAUACAUCGGAAUCUACUUUUUCGUGGGGGAUAACGUAGGGAAACUUACGCUAAUACCGCAUACGACCUACGGGUGAAAGCAGGGGAUCUUCGGACCUUGCGCGAUUGAAUGAGCCGAUGUCGGAUUAGCUAGUUGGCGGGGUAAAGGCCCACCAAGGCGACGAUCCGUAGCUGGUCUGAGAGGAUGAUCAGCCACACUGGAACUGAGACACGGUCCAGACUCCUACGGGAGGCAGCAGUGGGGAAUAUUGGACAAUGGGCGCAAGCCUGAUCCAGCCAUACCGCGUGGGUGAAGAAGGCCUUCGGGUUGUAAAGCCCUUUUGUUGGGAAAGAAAAGCAGCAGGCUAAUACCCCGCUGUUCUGACGGUACCCAAAGAAUAAGCACCGGCUAACUUCGUG